rnacentral:tRNA from 1 species
UCCCUGGUGAUCUAGUGGUUAGAGAUUCAGCUCUGUCAUUGAUGUGGCUCAGGUUUGAUCCCUGGCCUGGGAA